rnacentral:rRNA from 1 species
AGAGUUUGAUCAUGGCUCAGAGCGAACGCUGGCGGCAGGCUUAACACAUGCAAGUCGAGCGGGCGUAGCAAUACGUCAGCGGCAGACGGGUGAGUAACGCGUGGGAACGUACCUUUUGGUUCGGAACAACACAGGGAAACUUGUGCUAAUACCGGAUAAGCCCUUACGGGGAAAGAUUUAUCGCCGAAAGAUCGGCCCGCGUCUGAUUAGCUAGUUGGUGAGGUAACGGCUCACCAAGGCGACGAUCAGUAGCUGGUCUGAGAGGAUGAUCAGCCACAUUGGGACUGAGACACGGCCCAAACUCCUACGGGAGGCAGCAGUGGGGAAUAUUGGACAAUGGGGGCAACCCUGAUCCAGCCAUGCCGCGUGAGUGAUGAAGGCCCUAGGGUUGUAAAGCUCUUUUGUGCGGGAAGAUAAUGACGGUACCGCAAGAAUAAGCCCCGGCUAACUUCGUGCCAGCAGCCGCGGUAAUACGAAGGGGGCUAGCGUUGCUCGGAAUCACUGGGCGUAAAGGGUGCGUAGGCGGGUUUUUAAGUCAGGGGUGAAAUCCUGGAGCUCAACUCCAGAACUGCCUUUGAUACUGAAGAUCUUGAGUCCGGGAGAGGUGAGUGGAACUGCGAGUGUAGAGGUGAAAUUCGUAGAUAUUCGCAAGAACACCAGUGGCGAAGGCGGCUCACUGGCCCGGUACUGACGCUGAGGCACGAAAGCGUGGGGAGCAAACAGGAUUAGAUACCCCCGUAGUCC